UUUUUGAUUAUUGAAAAGAAGAGGAGAAAAUGGAUUGAUUGAUACAGAUGCUCACUUCUAAGAUGUUUCCAGGUUCUUGUUAAAAGUGUUUUAUAUGGCACCAUUCAGCUACAAUUACUUUGCUGGUGGAACUGUGACAUCAAUCAACUGCUCAUGCCACUGCUAAUUGGCAGAGAAUUUCCUUUGGGACAAGCAAACUGUUUCAAACAUUUUACACCUGCAAGUAGAGUGUACUGGAAGGUUUUUCAGGAUCUCUUCAAACAUCAUAGGUACAACAGGUCACUGUGCUUGCUUGAUUAUAUAAGCUGGCAUAUUGU